UACGUAGGUGGCAAGCGUUUGUCCGGAUUUACUGGGCGUAAAGAGCGCGCAGGCGGUCGUGCAAGUCGCGUGUGAAAGCCCCCGGCUCAACUGGGGAGGGUCACGCGAUACUGUUCGACUCGAAGGCAGGAGAGGGAAGCGGAAUUCCCGGUGUAGUGGUGAAAUGCGUAGAUAUCGGGAGGACACCAGUGGCGAAGGCGGCUGACUGGUCCGGUUCUGACGCUGAGGCGCGAAAGCGUGGGGAGCAAACAGG
rnacentral:rRNA from 1 species